ACCCGCACAAGCGGUGGAGCAUGUGGUUUAAUUCGAAGAUACGCGAAGAACCUUACCCAGGCUUGACAUGGUACGAACCUUGUAGAAAUAUGAGGGUGCUCUUCGGAGAGCGUACACACAGGUGCUGCACGGCUGUCGUCAGCUCGUGUCGUGAGAUGUUGGGUUAAGUCCCGCAACGAGCGCAACCCUUGUCUUUAGUUGCCAUCAUUUAGUUGGGCACUCUAAAGAGACUGCCGGUGUCAAACCGGAGGAAGGUGGGGAUGACGUCAAGUCCUCAUGGCCUUUAUGACCAGGGCUACACACGUACUACAAUGGCCGGUACAAAGGGCAGCCACUUAGCGAUAAGGAGCCAAUCCCGUAAAGCCGGUCUCAGUCCGGAUUGGAGUCUGCAACUCGACUCCAUGAAGUUGGAAUCGCUAGUAAUCGCAGAUCAGCACGCUGCGGUGAAUACGUUCCCGGGCCUU
rnacentral:rRNA from 1 species